CCAGACUCCUACGGGAGGCAGCAGUGAGGAAUAUUGGUCAAUGGACGAGAGUCUGAACCAGCCAAGUAGCGUGAAGGAUGACUGCCCUAUGGGUUGUAAACUUCUUUUAUAAAGGAAUAAAACGAGGCACGUGUGCCUCUUUGCAUGUACUUUAUGAAUAAGGAUCGGCUAACUCCGUGCCAGCAGCCGCGGUAAUACGGAGGGUGCGAGCGUUAAUCGGAAUUACUGGGCGUAAAGCGCUCGUAGGCGGUAUGUCAAGUCAAGGGUGAAAUCCCCGCGCUCAACGUGGGAACUGCCUUUGAAACUGGCAAACUGGAGUGUGUGAGAGGAUAGUGGAAUUCCAGGUGUAGGAGUGAAAUCCGUAGAUAUCUGGAGGAACAUCAGUGGCGAAGGCGACUAUCUGGCACAUAACUGACGCUGAGGAGCGAAAGCGUGGGUAGCAAACAGGAUUAGAUACCCCCGUACU
rnacentral:rRNA from 1 species